GACGAACGCUGGCGGCGUGCUUAACACAUGCAAGUCGAACGGAGUGGCGAACGGGUGAGUAACACGUGGGUGACCUGCCCUGCACUUCGGGAUAAGCCUGGGAAACUGGGUCUAAUACCGGCUAGUGGGGGAUGGGCCCGCGGCCUAUCGGCUUGUUGGUGGGGUAAUGGCCUACCACGGCGGCGACGGGUAGCCGGCCUGAGAGGGUGGACGGCCACAUUGGGACUAGGAGAGGGCCCAGAGGCCUACAGGAGGCAGCAGGGGUGAAUAUUGCACAAUGGGCGGAAGCCUGAUGCAGCGACGCGGCGUGGGGGAAGACGGCCUUCGGGUGGUAAACUCCUUUCACCAUCGACGCGGUAGAUGGAGAAGAAGCACCGGCUAACUACGUGCCAGCAGCCGCGGUAAUAC
rnacentral:rRNA from 1 species